UGCAGUCGAGCGGAUGAAAGGAGCUUGCUCCUGGAUUCAGCGGCGGACGGGUGAGUAAUGCCUAGGAAUCUGCCUGGUAGUGGGGGACAACGUUUCGAAAGGAACGCUAAUACCGCAUACGUCCUACGGGAGAAAGCAGGGGACCUUCGGGCCUUGCGCUAUCAGAUGAGCCUAGGUCGGAUUAGCUAGUUGGUGAGGUAAUGGCUCACCAAGGCGACGAUCCGUAACUGGUCUGAGAGGAUGAUCAGUCACACUGGAACUGAGACACGGUCCAGACUCCUACGGGAGGCAGCAGUGGGGAAUAUUGGACAAUGGGCGAAAGCCUGAUCCAGCCAUGCCGCGUGUGUGAAGAAGGUCUUCGGAUUGUAAAGCACUUUAAGUUGGGAGGAAGGGCAGUAAAUUAAUACUUUGCUGUUUUGACGUUACCGACAGAAUAAGCACCGGCUAACUCUGUGCCAGCAGCCGCGGUAAUACAGAGGGUGCAAGCGUUAAUCGGAAUUACUGGGCGUAAAGCGCGCGUAGGUGGUUUGUUAAGUUGGAUGUGAAAUCCCCGGGCUCAACCUGGGAACUGCAUCCAAAACUGGCAAGCUAGAGUAUGGUAGAGGGUGGUGGAAUUUCCUGUGUAGCGGUGAAAUGCGUAGAUAUAGGAAGGAACACCAGUGGCGAAGGCGACCACCUGGACUGAUACUGACACUGAGGUGCGAAAGCGUGGGGAGCAGACAGGAUUAGAUACCCUGGUAGUCCACGCCGUAAACGAUGUCAACUAGCCGUUGGGAGCCUUGAGCUCUUAGUGGCGCAGCUGACGCAUUAAGUUGACCGCCUGGGGAGUACGGCCGCAAGGUUAAUACUCAGAUGAAUUGACGGGGGCCCGCACAAGCGGUGGAGCAUGUGGUUUAAUUCGAAGCAACGCGAAGAACCUUACCAGGCCUUGACAUCCAAUGAACUUUCCAGAGAUGGAUUGGUGCCUUCGGGAACAUUGAGACAGGUGCUGCAUGGCUGUCGUCAGCUCGUGUCGUGAGAUGUUGGGUUAAGUCCCGUAACGAGCGCAACCCUUGUCCUUAGUUACCAGCACGUAAUGGUGGGCACUCUAAGGAGACGGCCGGUGACAAACCGGAGGAGAGGGGGGGAGGAAGUCCAGUCCUCAGGGCCCUUACGGCGGGGGGAACACCUGCUACAAGGGUGGGUACAAAAG
rnacentral:rRNA from 1 species